UGUGUCACAUGUAGUAAAAUGAAACUUACUUUUCAACUAACUCAACUAAACUCGUUAACUCCACUUCAAGAUUCCCAGAACCACAACAGACACCUCUGGACCUAACACCCACUUCCACAUUAUCCAGUUAUUCGAAUUCCUGAAACAUCAAUGACUCCAAUGUGAAGUAGGUACCCUUACUAUUUCCAUUUCGAAGAUGAAGAAACUGAGCACAAGGAGCAAGAUUACUUCCCAAGGACCACACAACUAGUAUGCAACACAACUUGGGCCCAGAAUAUCAUGUAAAUGGAAUCAUACAGCCUCUUGAGACCAGCUUCUUUCACUUAGUAAAAUGCACUUGAAUUUCAUUCUUCUUC